AGUGAACGCUGGCGGCAGGCCUAACACAUGCAAGUCGAACGCCCCGCAAGGGGAGUGGCAGACGGGCGAGUAACGCGGUGGCAUAUUCCCUUUGGUUCAGGAUAGCCGCGGGAGACUGGGACUAAUACUGGAUAAGAUCUACCGAUGAACGAUUUAUCGCCGAAGGAUUAGCCCGCGUAAUGUUAGUUAGUUGGUGAGGUAACGGCUAACCAAGACAAUGAUCUUUAGCUGGUCUGAGAGGAUGAUCAGCCACACUGGAACUGAGACACGGCCCAGUCUCCUACGGGAGGCAGCAGUGAGGAAUAAUCGACAAUGGGCGCAAGCCUGAUCCAGCCAUGCCGCGUGAGUGAUGAAGGCCCUAGGGUUGUAAAACUCUUUUAGUGGGGAAAAUAAUGAUGGGACCCACAGAAAAAGCUCCGGCUAACUUCGUGCCAGCAGCCGCGGUAA
rnacentral:rRNA from 1 species